UCUUACAGUCCUCUUUGCCUGGGAAAACAACUUCAGCCAAACCAGUUAAUAUGUUUAAACCCUACAGUUAGCCAUUGAUUUCUAUCUAAUUAUAAAACAAAAGGUCUUAUAUUAAAAAUGCUGAUACCCUUUGUUCGUUGUUCUUUGUUUUCUCUUCACCAGGUGGGUAGCAGGAAAGGAUCCGGAAAUAAAAUAUGGUGAUAUCUUCCAUCUCUUCCAUUACUGUCAUUGUUCAGAAAGAGAUGGGAAAGUUGCGAAAACAAGAAGAGAAUUACAUCUCAAAGUGAUCUUGUUCCUUUCUUUUUAUUUUAUUUUUUAGCUUGUCAAUGCUAUGGGAAACAACCUGAAAGCAAAUUAAAAGGAAAAUAAACCUCUUAUGUUUUUCCAAUUAAAUUUCUUGUCAUGGAUGGUGGUAACAAUUGAAGUCUGUGGGUCUUUUGUACAGACUGAAUCCAUGCACUGCCUCUGGUUCAGAGAGUGCCCAUGCUACAACUUCUUUAUAUUAGUUUUGCUAAAUAUGAGAUAGUGCAAAAACAUAUAAAACUUCAAGUAUAUAGAUUGAAAACAGAAUCAUAUAUGAGCUCAUUAUUAAAGACAUAACCAAGACAGUAAACACAAACAAAGGAAGAAACUUCCAUUUAUGGUAAAUAUCAAGGAAGGCCAUGAUAAUCUCUCCAAGUGGUAGUGGUCCUUUUCAAGAACAGGGUGUCUCUGAGGCUCAAAGAUCUGGGAAGUCAAUUUUUGCAUAGAGUAGUUGUCAUGAACAGAUGUUACCCUGCAGCUAAAUGAGUAACUAGAGUAUUCCAAGAUGUGUUAUGAUGUACAUACCUAGUUUUCUUCCAGGAUAAGAAUAAAUUAGGGUAAAUUUGGUAAUCUGUCCCAUUCUGCCAUUGACUAAUAAAAUUCCUAUGAUGAGAUAUCCCUACUAAACUUUCAUUUUCUACCAAAAGCAGACUAAAAUGAUCACAGCUUUCUGAUAGGUACUCUACAAGAGGUAUGAUCCAAACAAUAGUGAAUUAUUAAUAUUUGUUAUGUUUUUUAUUUUUAUUUUCUGGAUCUAUUUUUAAUUUGAAAACUUUAUAUCUUGGAAAAGACUUGGGGGUGCAAAAAAGACAAAAACAACCAUGUCUCUGAGUGUCCAGACAAAGCUCCUUAGUCCUUCCUGGUACAGAAAGCUUAUUUUCAAGACAAAAGAAAGAUACAUGCUUACAUUAACUUUAAGAAAAAGAAAAAAAAAGGAUUAGAGAGAAUGAUUUAAUAGGGUUGAGUUAUGAGAGCAAUCAGAUCAGAGUGCAGAGAAGAGUAGGAAAUGCCAAAAAUAAUGUUGGAAUAUCUCAUAUCUAUCUAUAGAAACCUUUAAGCCCCAAGAUCCUGCCUGAGAUCUUCCUGACCCAAUAUAACAUGCCCAAUUUAAUAUAAUAUGAUCUCUCGGUCACAUUUGGAUGGAUCCUUGAUAUAAUAUUUUAUGGUUACACCUUAUUUCAGAUUUUGUUUUCUCCUCCUUCCUAGACUGUCUGCUUGGAAGCUGUCAUGGAUUGGUGUCAUGCACAAUUGUUUUCCUUGUUUUUUUUUUUAUCAAUUGUUUAAUAGAUUAAUAAUAUACAGUCAUUCCUUGUCUGCUGACAAACAAUGGUCCCAAAGAAAUAGAAAACAAUACAGGUAGUUUGUAAUGUUCACACUCUAGAUUUAGACUUUAUUUCUCCUUCAUUCUUUAAUAAUCGAAAAAUAAUUAUGAAAACAAACAAAAAAAGAGAGCCCAAAUACAUAAGGAAUGGAAGCCAAAAACUUAUACAAAGAAACAUACAGUGGUUUUGAUGGUAAAGCAGCUUCCCAUUCUCCACCAAGACCAUUCUUCAAACCUUGGAACAAGAAGAUAAGAGCAUGUUAUUAUCAUUAAUAUAAUUUAUACCCCUUUCUUCAUGCACUCUUAACUUAUUUUCACAAAUUUCAUGACACCGUAGUCACCUUGGAGAUCUACAAAAUAGUUUCUGGGUCCUUUUCCUUUCUUUUGACUGAGAUUUUACUUGUAUAUAACCUGCAACUAGCAUGUGCAUUGCUAAGUACAAAUGCACAUGCACACUCGUGUGCACCCACUGCCUAAUUCCUUGAGAUUCACCCCUUCAUCACACCAAUUCCUACAAACAGAAAGAAAUAAAUUACUUUUAGCAUAAUCAAAUCCUCUAGCCUUUAUUUGAAUAAACAAAUUUCAAUAAGCAUGAUCCACACACCAGGUAGGCAUGUUUAUACUUAAAAAUCAAAGCACUGGUUAGAUAGAAAAGUACGUAGUCCUCACAAACACAACUAAGAGUGGUCAGGAGCUGCAGACAGAGCCUGCAAUACAUAUUUAGCUUCCUGUACUAUUCAAAAAUAUAUGGUUCUCAUUGUAGUCAAUUGCUUAUCACUAUCUAAGUCAUCAAAAUAAUACAACUUACAUCUUUUCUUUUCAGCAGAAAAGUGCCAGCAUAAAAGCUAACCACCAAAAUGAUAUUUGAUACUGCAUCCAGUGGGGGCUGUAACCUUACAUACAUAAUGCCAUAAAACACACCACACCUUGUAACAGACAUUACAAUACACAUACGGCAUACAUCAACAUUAGUAGGACACCAAUAACUAAACACACGAGUUAAUUUGACUGUGAACUCUAAAACACAAAGAAUUAAGGCAAAUAAACGACUAAACAAGAUGAUAGGAUAAAGAAAGUGAUGGACAUAGGACCCCCAAAAGCAGGACUGGUUUGGAGGGAACUUCCUAAACAGACCUCAUCACAGAUAGCCAUAUCAUAACUAGAAAUACCAAGAUAACUAGACGAAACUGAAUGGAUAUUGUAAAGAAAUGGGUCAGAUUAAGGUUAAUGAAGGGAGGUAACACUCAAAAAGGUUAAUUUCCUUUUGUUCUACUGCACAUGGUUAUAAUAGUUAACUGCAGCAGAGUUCUUACUUGGAAAAUAUUUCGUUAAACAACAAAUAUAUACUAUAUCCACUAAAACACAAAUUGGGACACUUCAGAAGCUCGACAUACAUUACAAAGUCAAAAGCUCAACACACAGGAAUGGUAACGUGCAACUUCCUCGUACAAGACACAUGUUAUAAAUAAUGGUUUACUGCCUUUUAUUACUGUCUGGAAAGUUAUAAUCGGUAACUGCAGCAGAGCCCUUGUUUGAUGAUAACUUAGUUGAACAUGAAAACAUAUUUAUUCACUCCAAUAAAAUGUGAAGUGUAAACCUUACAGAGAUGGUGUAACUAUAGAUAGGAAUAAGCUGUGGUGGGCAUGCUCAAAUUUUCAUUGAUUAAAAUUCUCAUAUGCUAAUUGAGCAAUUUUGUAUGGUCAACUUCCUUUGCUUGGCUGUGUGCCUGUGUCGACAAUCAGAGUGGGACCUUCUAUCUCUUUGGUCAACCUUAACGUCUCUCGAGAUAAGAGGGCAGGGCAAUAUGGAGCACUAUCCUUCUUGCUUUAUUUUUAUCAGUAAAACAAAAUUCUAUGAAGAAGUGAUUAAGACACUCACCUUAAGGCAGCAAUUCAGCAAAUUACAAGACAUAAGUUUACAUUGCUCAGAAUGCUCUCCUAGUUAACAAUCAGCUCAUCAAGCCUAAUGCCCCCCCAUCACUGGCCAGCAGAACAUGCCUCUCCUCAAAUAUCCUCCUGUUCCUCUCCAUCCAGUGUUCCCAUACUGUUGCAUGGAACUAAACUUUCCAUACCAAAUUUCCUUCAACUGUGGGGUUGCUACACCUUCAUUGUCUCACCAGCUUAAUGAUGUCUCUUACCCAACCAUAUUGCUAUCAGAAUCACCAAAAAACCAACUCAGACAGCCAUGGAAAAACUACAUUCCAUCUCCAUUGUCUCAAAUGUUUUACUGGAACUGUAACUGUAAUAACUUUUAGUCUUGGUCGAGAAACGAGAAAAUAUAUGUAUCUAGUCUAAUAGAUGGAUAGCAGCUUGCUCAAUCCCCACACAUACACACCCUUCCAG
rnacentral:lncRNA from 1 species